ensembl:lncRNA
CUUUGUCUAAUUGUCUUUUGUUGCCUAACACUGCUGAAUGAAUAAUAUGAAUAAGCAAUACCAAGAGCUCCUGAAAAAAAUCAGAUGGAGAACAUGACAUCAUGGUCCCACCGAAGCGAAGCACGUGAGUGACUCAGGAGCUUAAGACUGUUGGGGAUAUCCAGAGUGGGUUUCCCGGUGGCUUCCCCGUGGCUUCCUCUGGACCUGCUGUCAGUCAACCUCUGUCCCUUCACAGACAGUGCUGUGGAGCUGAUAAGGGCACAGUGUGGAACCAGAUUGCCCAGCCUCAAAUCCGGCUCUGUCUCUCGUUAGCUGUCUGAUUUGGGGGAGCUGUUCCUGACCUGCGCCCUCGGGCCCACAUAGGGAGGAAACAUUCAUCUCUCUAGUUCAGAUGUCCCGUGCAAGCUGCAGGGACCAGGGCUCUGCACACGACUGAUGAGGCUGCUGGAAACUUCCGUCUGAUUUCGAGUCUCCUACAGCAAGAGUACCCUAAAAUUUCCUGAUGGUAAGAACAAUCUGGACGCCCA